UGCUCUAGCUUGCUGGUUGUGGUUGUUCAGCCUGGGGAGGCUGGGUUCUCUUCUGCUAGCAUACAGUUUCUUUAGCUCUUGAGAAACACGGUAACGUUUCAUUUCCUGGAUAUUGCACCGUAGCUGCCAUUUUGUGUGCUGACACAAUCCGCAUGCCUCUAGUCCACCCUCCUUAAAAAGCCUUCCUUUUAUGAUGCAGUAGACCCAGUAGAUUUCGAAGGCUUCCUAAUGACACAGCUGAACAACUUGGACUCAGAAAUGGCACAUGAACUUGGUGAUUUUCCUGAAGAUGACUUGGACAUUGUCUUUACGCCCAAAGAAUGCAGGACUCUGCAGCCUUCUAUGCCAGAAGAUGGGGUUGAGCUGGAUUCGCAUGUACGAGACUGUGUUCAGACCUAUAUCCGGGACUGGCUGAUUGUGAAUAGAAAGUAAGCUACCCACAAGUAAAUGAAAUAGAAAAUACCUUGUAUAUUAUUU